rnacentral:rRNA from 1 species
UACGAAGGGGACUAGCGUUGUCCGGAAUUAUUGGGCGUAAAGAGCUCGUAGGCGGUCUGUCGCGUCGGCUGUGAAAACCCGGGGCUCAACCCCGGGCCCGUGCAGUCGAUACGGGCAGACUAGAGUGCGGUAGGGGGAGACUGGAAUUCCUGGUGUAGCGGUGAAAUGCGCAGAUAUCAGGAGGAACACCGGUGGCGAAGGCGGGUCUCUGGGCCGUAACUGACGCUGAGGAGCGAAAGCGUGGGGAGCGAACAGG